GUCUCCGUUGGUGAACCAGCGGAGGGAUCAUUACCGAGUUUACAACUCCCAAACCCCUGUGAACAUACCACUUGUUGCCUCGGCGGAUCAGCCCGCUCCCGGUAAAACGGGACGGCCCGCCAGAGGACCCCUAAACUCUGUUUCUAUAUGUAACUUCUGAGUAAAACCAUAAAUAAAUCAAAACUUUCAACAACGGAUCUCUUGGUUCUGGCAUCGAUGAAGAACGCAGCAAAAUGCGAUAAGUAAUGUGAAUUGCAGAAUUCAGUGAAUCAUCGAAUCUUUGAACGCACAUUGCGCCCGCCAGUAUUCUGGCGGGCAUGCCUGUUCGAGCGUCAUUUCAACCCUCAAGCACAGCUUGGUGUUGGGACUCGCGUUAAUUCGCGUUCCCCAAAUUGAUUGGCGGUCACGUCGAGCUUCCAUAGCGUAGUAGUAAAACCCUCGUUACUGGUAAUCGUCGCGGCCACGCCGUUAAACCCCAACUUCUGAAUGUUGACCUCGGAUCAGGUAGGAAUACCCGCUGAAC
rnacentral:rRNA from 1 species